AUGCUAGCAAGAUGGGCAGCAUAUCUGGAGAGAUUUAACUAUCUCAUCACGCAUAAAUCUGGAAUAACUAACAGAGUGGCCGAUGCUUUGAGUCGUCGUGCAUGCCUCUUGACUUCUUUUGAAGCUAAACUUCCGGGCAUGGAUCAAAUAAAGGAGUUGUAUGAGGGUGAUGAAGACUUUGGCCAUGUUUGGGUAAAGCACGCAAGGGGCCAACCAUUAGGUGAUGACUAUUUGAUGCAAGAUGGAUAUCUCUUCAAAAAUGAUCGUUUGUGCAUUCCAAGAAGUUCUUUACGUGACAAGAUGGUUAGAGAGCUCCAUUCAAGUGAUCUUAGUGGCCAUGUUGGACGGGACAAGAGUAUCGCUAACCUGGAAGCUCGCUACUUUUGGCCACAACUAAAGAGAGAUGCUGGAAAGUUCAUUCAACGGUGCCCCGUAUGUCAGACCUGCAAAGGCCAAGUCCAGAACACAGGGUUAUACAUGCCUUUGCCUGUUCCUGUCGCUCCAUGGGAGGACAUUUCUAUGGACUUCGUCUUGGGCUUGCCAAGAACAAGACGAGGAAGUGAUGUUGUAUUUGUGGUCGUGGAUAGAUUCUCUAAGAUGGCUCAUUUCAUCCCAUGCCGCAAAACAACGGAUGCUCAUCAUGUGGCAAACCUAUUCUUUCGAGAAGUGGUCAGACUUCAUGGAGUACCAAGGUCCAUCGUCUCAGACCAUGAUAGCAAGUUUCUUGCUGCAUUUUGGCUCACUUUGUGGAAGCAAUUCAACACUGAAUUGAAAUUUUCUAGCACUGCUCAUCCACAAACAGAUGGACAAACGGAAGUGGUGAACAAGUUUUUGGGUAAUCUGAUCCAUUGCAUUUGUGGAGAAAGAAAGGGACAAUGGGAUUUGGCUUUAUCUCUUGCAGAAUUCUCCUACAAUAACUCCAAGCAUAGAUCCACAGGAAGGAGCCCUUUUUCCAUUGUCUACACUAAAGUUCCAUCACAUGUGGUGGACCUAGUGAAGCUACCAUCAAGGGGAAACUCAAAAUCAGCAUUGUCCUUUGCUGAUAAUUACACCGAGUUAUUUGAAGAGAUUCGCGGUGCUUUGGAAGCACAAAAUCAGAAAUAUAAACAACUUGCUGAUUGCAAAAGGAGGCUAAAAUCAUUCCAAGCCGGUGAUAAGGUGAUGGUCUACCUUCGAAAAGAGAGGCUGCCUUUAGGUGUUAAAGGGAAACUUAGGCAGCGAAGGUAUGGGCCCUUCUCUAUCAUGAGGAAGAUAAAUGAUAAUGCUUAUGUGAUAGAUCUUCCAAGCGAUAUGGGUAUCUCUAACACUUUCAAUGUUGCGGACUUGACUCUCUACCAUCCAGAAGAAGCGCUCUAUGAAGAUAACUCGAGGGCGAGUUCCAAACAACCAGGGGAGAAUGAUGAGGAACAGUAG
rnacentral:rRNA from 1 species